AAAAAUAUUUUUCUCUUUAAGGCAUAUCGCUUUUAAAUGACCUUGAUCUGUUUUCGUUUUUUCGAUAUUUAACAUUAAGUCCAACAUUCUGAUUAUGUAGGAUUUAUGUUUAAGUUGUAGUCUUCCUAUGGCUGGAUGGCCUCAGAAACAAACAUAAAAGACAUGUUAAUCUGAUUUACAAAAAAAUGAUUAAUAAUUAUUUU
rnacentral:lncRNA from 1 species